CCAAUAAUCUUGCGCUGGGUCUUACCUUGUCACUAGUGUUGGCGCUACAAAUGAUUGUCACUCCUGUGCUUGUAACAGUAAUGCGCCCUCAUCUGCCCUGGAGUGUUGUAACUGGUUGAGGAGUUUAAUGUUGAGCGCUAGAACUGCAUCGUGGGAAAUGUAGUUUAUAAACACCUUGCGGACUACCAGCCUAAAUUGGGACCUAUCACCGGGAAACAUCCAGUGGUGUGGAGAUAUUUCACCAGAGGACAACUUGGCAUUUGACCAGGAAAUGCAUUUGAUGAGCCAGACUGACAUUUCCUGGCCCACAACGGCUGGGUGAUGUCAGAUGACCCCCUGACUAACUUUGCAGAUCCAGGUCAGCUGAUAGUUCAGUAGUAUUUAGGUUCCAGGCCAGCUGCUAGUGCUGUUGUAACUGUGGUCUAGUUUCGGCCUGUAAUUGUCAUAUCCAGUCUAUACCAAAAGGGGGUGGUAAAGAUUGACCUUUCCCUGAGAAAUGUGACUCUUUUUAGUUUUAGAUAUCAUUGAUAUUUCUAACUCUUCUAUUUCAUCCCUGUCUGGCUCUACCUUGUACUUGAGGGGAGAGCUGAUCUGCUGGGGAGACGGCCUGAAGCUGUGCUGCUGAGGGGAGAGCUGAUCUGCUGGGGAGACAGCCUGAAGCUGUGCUGCUGAGGGGAGAGCUGAUCUGUUGGGGAGACGGCCUGAAGCUGUGCUGCUGAGGGGAGAGCUGAUCUGCUGGGGAGACAGCCUGAAGCUGUGCUGCUGAGGGGACAGCUGAUCUGUUGGGGAGACGGCCUGAAGCUGUGCUGUUUAGGGGAGAGCUGAUCUGCUGGGGAGACCGCCUGAAGCUGUGCUGCUGAGGGGAGAGCUGAUCUGCUGGGGAGACAGCCUGAAGCUGUGCUGCUGAGGGGAGAGCUGAUCUGCUGGGGAGACAGCCUGAAGCUGUGCUGUUUAGGGGAGAGCUGAUCUGCUGGGGAGACCGCCUGAAGCUGUGCUGCUUAGGGGAGAGCUGAUCUGCUGGGGAGACGGCCUGAAGCUGUGCUGCUGAGGGGAGAGCUGAUCUGCUGGGGAGACAGCCUGAAGCUGUGCUGCUUAGGGGAGCGCUGAUCUGCUGGGGAGACAGCCUGAAGCUGUGCUGCUGAGGGGAGAGCUGAUCUGCCAAAGCCUCUACCCCUUCACUUUUCCCUUCCCAUCUCUUGCCCUCUUAUUCUCUAUCUCCAACCUCACUCUUUCUCCCUCCCCAAAAUUCCCUAUGUUGCAUUGUGUGCCCUGGUGUGAGUGGUGUGGCUCUAUGUAGUACAUGCUGGAGAGAACUCGCAAGCUGAAGCCAGACCUGUAUAUGGUGGCUGAGCUGUUCACGGGCAGUGAGGAGCUGGACAAUGUCUUUGUCACUAGACUGGCCAUUACCUCCCUCAUCAGAGGUGGUGGUUCUGGAGGCCAGGACUGUGGAGAAGAUCGGAUCGCUGUGUCAAACCAGAAAGACAGGAACGACAUCAACAGUCUGCCGAAGCACACUGUAGAGAUCAGAGAACACAUCCAGGCUUCAGAGCUGUUCACAGUGGAUAGAGUCUGGGGAGGCACGAGAGAUGGCAGAGCAGAAGCUACUCGGUCCCCUGGGAAUGAAGACGUUGGUCCCCUGGGAAUGAACACUACUUAUGACCAGGACCCAUGGGGAAUAGGUGACAUGAAGUACUGUGGUGUCUAUGAUAGCGCUCUGGAUAGCGAGGAUUUCAAUGUCGUUCGGGGCUUCAAGUACCACUAAGGAUCUGUUAAUGCACUUACAGCCCACAUAAACAUUUCUUAGUAACUAGGAACUGUACUUUUCCAAGAAGAUGGGAGAUCUACGGCGAGACUGUUCACCUAGUGAAGAGGAGGCUUAACAUCUGCUUGGAGAGAUUGUCUUGGAAGGGUCUACUUGAACUGACCAAUGGCAAUGGCCAGUACUGUCCCUUCAGCUGUGAGACCCAGGCCUGGUCCAUCACCACCUUACUGGAGGUCCUACAACAUUUAUAGAUGGAGAAUAUUUUCUCCUCUUUUAUUUUCUACUUCUCUCUUCUCAACACAUUACAGUUUCAGCCACUCAGUUUUCAAAAAUAUUAAACUUAUGACAGUAUUUUUAGUGAAGACAUUUUAAACAUGAUCUCAUACUCCAUAGCUGGAACCUGGUGUCUAUCUAAAAUAAAAAACAGCCUUUAACAACAUAAGAAAUCUCUAAACCCCUCAAUCUCUUUGUUACAUCUGGAUAUUAUGCCAAUGUGUGUUUGUAUAAAUGUGUCUUGCAUGGUCAAUGUAGGCCUAGUCAAUACAUCUUGAAUUGCUUUGAAAUCUUGUAGACUAUAAUCUUUUAGUACUUUCAAAGUACUUUUUUCUUAAUUGCUGUCUCAUACCAUAGCCUAUAUCGUUUUGCCCUGAUGACUGAUGAGACAAACUGUGAAUCAGAAAUAUCAAAUAUUUUGUGAAAAUCUUAUCUAUAAAUCCACAUGCUACACCACCGACCACUUUAAUAAAAAAUAAUAAAAAAUUG